CAUACAGAAGCAGGGACAAGCAGCACUUAAUCCUACAGAAGUGAUAGCCAAUCCUAAGAUUGAGAUGAGUGUAGAGAGUUAGACUGGAAACCAUGUUUCAGAGCAGACUGUCAUGAUUCAGCUAGAGUGCCAGGAGUAAGGAUGAACAGUGGCCUAACCUAGAAGUGAGGAGUAUUAGAUUAUCCUCCAUCAUCAGUUUUAAAUUGGCCAGUACAGAAAGAGAGUCCAGACCAGAAGGAUCCACUGCAACAACCAACCAUGCUAGGGGGGAGAGGUUGGAUUGCCUUGACCCUGCAGUGAGGAAGAGUCACCCCAUAAACUGAGGCCUACCUUGAAAGAUGA